rnacentral:rRNA from 1 species
CAGCCGCCGCGGUAAUACCGGCGGCCCGAGUGGCGGUCACUAUUAUUGGGCUUAAAGCGUCCGUAGCCGGGUUGGGAAGUCCUCCGGGAAAUCUGGCCGCUUAACGGUCAGAAUGCCGGAGGAUACUCCCAGCCUAGGGAGCGGGAGAGGCCGAGGGGAUUCCCGGAGGAGGGGUGGAAUCCUAUAAUCCCGGGAGGACCACCUGUGGCGAAGGCGCUCGGCUGGAACGCGUCCGACGGUGAGGGACGAAGGCCAGGGGAGCAAACCGGAUUAGAUACCCGGGUAGUCCUGGCUGUAAACGAUGCGGACUUUGUGUCGGACAAGCUAUGAGCUUGUCCGGUGCCGGAGGGAAACCGUUAAGUCCGCCGCCUGGGGAGUACGGCCGCAAGGCUGAAACUUAAAGGAAUUGGCGGG